rnacentral:misc_RNA from 1 species
GAUGAAGAACGUAGUGAAAUGCGAUAAGUAAUGUGAAUUGCAGAAUCCAGUGAAUCAUCGAAUCUUUGAACGCACAUUGCGCCCGCCAGUAUUCUGGCGGGCAUGCCUGUCCGAGCGUCAUUUCAACCAUCAAGCCCCAGGCUUGUGUUGGGGACCUGCGUCCGACGCAGGCCCUGAAAACCAGUGGCGGGCUCGCUGUCCACACCGAGCGUAGUAACUAACCUCGCUACGGGAGCGGCGCGGGCGCCUGCCGUAAAACCCCCAAUUUUCACAAGGUUGACCUCGGAUCAGGUAGGAAUACCCGCUGAACUUAAGCAUAUCAAUAAGCGGAGGA